rnacentral:rRNA from 1 species
AACGAACGCUGGCGGCAGGCUUAACACAUGCAAGUCGAACGGGUGUAGCAAUACAUCAGUGGCAGACGGGUGAGUAACACGUGGGAACCUUCCUAGGGGUACGGAACAACUCAGGGAAAACUGAGCUAAUACCGUAUACGUCCGUGAGGAGAAAGAUUUAUCGCCCUUAGACGGGCCCGCGUCGGAUUAGGUAGUUGGGGGGGUAACGGCCUACCAAGCCGACGAUCCGUAGCUGAUCUGAGAGGAUGAUCAGCCACACUGGGACUCGAGACACGGCCCAGACUCCUACGGGAGGCAGCAGUGGGGAAUCUUGGACAAUGGGCGCAAGCCUGAUCCAGCCAUGCCGCGUGAGUGAAGAAGGCCUUAGGGUUGUAAAGCUCUUUUGGCAGGGACGAUAAUGACGGUACCUGCAGAAUAAGCCCCGGCAAACUUCGUGCCAGCAGCCGCCGUAAAAC